UGUGGGAGCGAGCCUGCUCGCGAUGGCGGCGUGUCAGCCAAUACUCAUGCGGCUGAUCCACCGCCAUCGCGAGCAGGCUCGCUCCCACA
rnacentral:misc_RNA from 1 species